rnacentral:rRNA from 1 species
GACGAACGCUGGCGGCGUGCCUAAUACAUGCAAGUCGAACGCUUCUUUCCUCCCGUUUCCUUGCACUCGAUUGGAACGAGGGGGUGCGGACCGGGUAGUAACACGUCGGUAACCUACCCAUCAGCGGGGGAUAACACGAGCAAACAGGUGCUAAUACCGCAUAACAGUUUAUGCAGCAUGGCAUGAGGGUUUAGGGCGCUUUCGGGGAUGGCUGCUGGCUGGACCCGCGGUGCAUUAGCUAGUUGGUGAGGUAACGGCUCACCAAGGCCACGAUGCAUAGCCGACCUGAGAGGGUGAUCGGCCACACUGGAACUGAGACACGGCCCAGACUCCUACGGGAGGCAGCAGUAGGGAAUCUUCGGCAAUGGGCGAAAGCCUGACCGAGCAACGCCGCGUGAGUGAAGAAGGUCUUCGGAUCGUAAAACUCUGUUGUUAGGGAAGAACAAGGAUGUUAGUAACUGAGCGCGUCCUGACGGUACCUAACCAGAAAGCCACGGCUAACUACGUG